rnacentral:rRNA from 1 species
CCCUUAGAGUUUGAUCCUGGCUCAGGAUGAACGCUAGCUACAGGCUUAACACAUGCAAGUCGAGGGGCAGCAUGGUCUUAGCUUGCUAAGGCCGAUGGCGACCGGCGCACGGGUGAGUAACGCGUAUCCAACCUGCCUUACACUCUUGGACAGCCUUCUGAAAGGGAGGUUAAUACAAGAUGUUAUCAUGAGUAAGCAUUUUCACAUGAUUAAAGGUUUACCGGUGUAAGAUGGGGAUGCGUUCCAUUAGAUAGUAGGCGGGGUAACGGCCCACCUAGUCUUCGAUGGAUAGGGGUUCUGAGAGGAAGGUCCCCCACAUUGGAACUGAGACACGGUCCAAACUCCUACGGGAGGCAGCAGUGAGGAAUAUUGGUCAAUGGACGAGAGUCUGAACCAGCCAAGUAGCGUGAAGGAUGAAGGUUCUAUGGAUUGUAAACUUCUUUUAUACGGGAAUAAACGAAUCCACG